GGCGUGCCGAGGCAGGUGGCCUUUGUUGGCUUCAAAACCGUAGAGGAC
rnacentral:tRNA from 1 species